rnacentral:misc_RNA from 1 species
AAAUAUUGCACUAGAAGCUCCUCAUCGGUCGGGUAGAAACGAAAACCCGGUGGUAAGGUCAAUUGAGCGAGCGGGUCAGUUUCUUGCACUCCCAUUUUCAGGCCGCAAAUUGCAGAGCUCAAGACACAGGAAAACAAAGAGAAAUGUUUGUUUGGCCGAAGAAAAAAUGGAGCUAGAAUUUUCUACUUUCUUCCCCUUUUAAUAUUUUU